rnacentral:rRNA from 1 species
CUACGGGUUGCUCCAGUCGGGGAACUUUUGCAAUGCACGAAAGUGUGACAAAGCAAGCCAGAGUGUUUCUUUUAUUAAAGAAACUUUUGUCAGCUGUAAAAAGGCUGACGAAUAAGGACUGGGUAAGACCGGUGCCAGCCGCCGCGGUAAUACCGGCGGUCCGAGUCGCAGCCAUCAUUAUUGGGUCUAAAACAUCCGUAGCUUGUUUUACAAGUCUCUUGUGAAAUCUGACAUCUCAAGUGUCAGGCGUGCAAGAGAUACUGUAUCACUAGAGACCGGAAGACGUAAGGAGUACGACAAAGGUAGUGGUAAAAUACGUUAAUCUUUGUUGGACUAACAAUGGCGAAGGCACCUUACGAGGACGGAUCUGACAGUGAGGGAUGAAGGCCAGGGGCGCAAAACGGAUUAGAUACCCUCGUAGUC